rnacentral:rRNA from 1 species
UACGAAGGGGGCGAGCGUUGUUCGGAUUUACUGGGCGUAAAGGGCGCGUAGGCGGCGGGUCAAGUCGAGUGUGAAAGCCCCGGGCUCAACCUGGGAAUUGCGCUCGAGACUGGUCUGCUUGAGUUCGGGAGAGGAGAGUGGAAUUCCCAGUGUAGAGGUGAAAUUCGUAGAUAUUGGGAAGAACACCGGUGGCGAAGGCGGCUCUCUGGGACGGUACUGACGCUGAGACGCGAAAGCGUGGGGGAGCGAACAGG